GAUGAACGCUGGCGGCGUGCCUAAUACAUGCAAGUAGAACGCUGAAGGAGGAGCUUGCUCUUCUGGAUGAGUUGCGAACGGGUGAGUAACGCGUAGGUAACCUGCCUGGUAGCGGGGGAUAACUAUUGGAAACGAUAGCUAAUACCGCAUGACAACAGUUAUUGCAUGAUAACUGUUUAAAAGGGGCAACUGCUCCACUACCAGAUGGACCUGCGUUGUAUUAGCUAGUUGGUGAGGUAACGGCUCACCAAGGCGACGAUACAUAGCCGACCUGAGAGGGUGAUCGGCCACACUGGGACUGAGACACGGCCCAGACUCCUACGGGAGGCAGCAGUAGGGAAUCUUCGGCAAUGGACGGAAGUCUGAACGAGCAACGCCGCGUGAGUGAAGAAGGUUUUCGGAUCGUAAAGCUCUGUUGUAAGAGAAGAACGAGUGUGAGAGUGGAAAGUUCACACUGUGACGGUAUCUUAACAGAAAGGGACGGCUAACUACGUG
rnacentral:rRNA from 1 species